rnacentral:rRNA from 1 species
AUUAAGUGCAAUUCGAGCGACUGAUCAUGAGCUUGCUCCUUUGACUUUAGCGGCGGACGGGUGAGUAACACGUGGAUAACCUACCUAUAAGACUGGGAUAACUUCGGGAAACCGGAACUAAUACCGGAUAAGAUUUUGAACCCCAUGGUUCAAUAGUGAAAGACGGCCUUGCUGUCACUUAUAAAUGGAUCCGCCCCGUAUUAGCUAGUUGGUAAGGUAACGGCUUACCAAGGCAACGAUACGUAACCGACCUGAGAGGGUGAUCGGCCACACUGGAACUGAAACACGGUCCAGACUCCUACGGGAGGCAGCAGUAGGGAAUCUUCCGCAAUGGGCGAAAGCCUGACGGAGCAACGCCCCGUGAGUGAUGAAAGUCUUCUGAUCUCAAAACUCUGUUAUCUGGG